AUUGAACGCUGGCGGUAUGCUUAACACAUGCAAGUCGAACGGUAGCAGGCCUUCGGGCGCUGACGAGUGGCGGACGGGUGAGUAACGCGUAGGAAUCUGCCUCAUAGUGGGGGACAACGUGGGGAAACUCACGCUAAUACCGCAUACGCCCUACGGGGGAAAGCGGGGGCUCUUCGGACCUCGCGCUAUGAGAUUGGCCUGCGUUAGAUUAGCUAGUUGGUAGGGUAAAAGCCUACCAAGGCGACGAUCUAUAGCUGGUCUGAGAGGACGAUCAGCCACACUGGGACUGAGACACGGCCCAGACUCCUACGGGAGGCAGCAGUGGGGAAUAUUGGACAAUGGGCGCAAGCCUGAUCCAGCAAUACCGCGUGUGUGAAGAAGGCCCUAGGGUUGUAAAGCACUUUCAAUUGGGAGGAAAACCUGCCGGUCAAUACCCGGCAGCUUGACAUUACCUUUAGAAGAAGCACCGGCUAACUCCGUGCCAGCAGCCGCAGUAAAAC
rnacentral:rRNA from 1 species